rnacentral:rRNA from 1 species
UACGCAGGGGGCGAGCGUUGUUCGGAUUUACUGGGCGUAAAGGGCGCGUAGGCGGCCUUGUCAGUCAGGCGUGAAAGCCCCGGGCUCAACCUGGGAACGGCGCUUGGGACGGCGAGGCUGGAGUUCGGGAGAGGAGAGUGGAAUUCCCAGUGUAGAGGUGAAAUUCGUAGAUAUUGGGAAGAACACCGGUGGCGAAGGCGGCUCUCUGGACCGACACUGACGCUGAGGCGCGAAAGCGUGGGGAGCAAACAGG